GUAGUCAUAUGCUUGUCUCAAAGAUUAAGCCAUGCAUGUCUAAGUAUAAGCAAUUAUACCGCGAAACUGCGAAUGGCCCAUUAUAUAAGUUAUCGUUUAUUUGAUAGUACCUUACUACUUGGAUAACCGUGGUAAUUCUAGAGCUAAUACAUGCUAAAAAUCCCGACUUCGGAAGGGAUGUAUUUAUUAGAUUAAAAACCAAUGCCCUUCGGGGCUCACUGGUGAUUCAUGAUAACUCCUCGAAUCGCAUGGCCUUGUGCCGGCGAUGGUUCAUUCAAAUUUCUUCCCUAUCAACUUUCGAUGUUUGGGUAUUGGCCAAACAUGGUUGCAACGGGUAACGGAGGGUUAGGGCUCGACCCCGGAGAAGGAGCCUGAGAAACGGCUACUACAUCCAAGGAAGGCAGCAGGCGCGCAAAUUACCCAAUCCCGACACGGGGAGGUAGUGACAAUAAAUACUGAUACAGGGCUCUUUUGGGUCUUGUAAUUGGAAUGAGUACAAUUUAAAUCCCUUAACGAGGAACAAUUGGAGGGCAAGUCUGGUGCCAGCAGCC
rnacentral:rRNA from 1 species